AGGAUUAGAUACCCUGGUAGUCCAUGCCGUAAACGUUGGGCACUAGGUGUGGGGGACAUUCCACGUUUUCCGCGCCGUAGCUAACGCAUUAAGUGCCCCGCCUGGGGAGUACGGCCGCAAGGCUAAAACUCAAAGAAAUUGACGGGGGCCCGCACAAGCGGCGGAGCAUGCGGAUUAAUUCGAUGCAACGCGAAGAACCUUACCAAGGCUUGACAUAUACUGGACUGCGUCAGAGAUGGCGUUUCCCUUCGGGGCUGGUAUACAGGUGGUGCAUGGUUGUCGUCAGCUCGUGUCGUGAGAUGUUGGGUUAAGUCCCGCAACGAGCGCAACCCUCGUUCUAUGUUGCCAGCACGUGAUGGUGGGGACUCAUAGGAGACUGCCGGGGUCAACUCGGAGGAAGGUGGGGAUGACGUCAAAUCAUCAUGCCCCUUAUGUCUUGGGCUUCACGCAUGCUACAAUGGCCGGUACAGAGGGUUGCGAUACUGUGAGGUGGAGCUAAUCCCUAAAAGCCGGUCUCAGUUCGGAUUGGGGUCUGCAACUCGACCCCAUGAAGUCGGAGUCGCUAGUAAUCGCAGAUCAGCAACGCUGCGGUGAAUACGUUCCCGGGGCUUGUACACACCGCCCGUCAAGUCAUGAAAGUUGGUAACACCCGAAGCCGGUGGCCUAACCCUGGUGGGGGGGAGCCGUCGAAGGUGGGACUGGCGAUUGGGACUAAGUCGUAACAAGGUAGCCGUACCGGAAGGUGCGGCUG
rnacentral:rRNA from 1 species